AUUGAACGCUGGCGGCAUGCCUAACACAUGCAAGUCGAGCGGAUGAAGGGGGCUUGCGCCUGGAUGCAGCUGCGGACGGGUGAGUAAUUCCUAGGAAGCUGCCUUGUAUUGGGGGAUAACAUCCGUAAACGGACGCUAAUACAGCAUACGUCCUUAGUUAGAAAGGGGGGGUUCUUCGGAGCUCACGCUAUCUGCUGAGCCUAGUUCGCAUUAGCUAGUUGGUGAGGUAAAGGCGUACCAAGGCGACGAUCCGUAGCUGGUCUGAGAGGAUGAUCAGUCACACUGGAACUGAGACACGGUCCAGACUCCUACGGGAGGCAGCAGUGGGGAAUAUUGGACAAUGGGCGAAAGCCUGACCCAGCAAUGCCGCGUGAGUGAAGAAGGUCUUCGGAUUGUAAAGCACUUUAAGUUGGGAGGAAGGGAAGUAAGUUAAUCUCUUGAUGUUUUGACGUUACCAACGGAAUAAGCAACGGCUAACUUCGUG
rnacentral:rRNA from 1 species